rnacentral:rRNA from 1 species
CAGUACGCGGUAAUACGAAGGGGGCUAGCGUUGUUCGGAAUUACUGGGCGUAAAGCGCACGUAGGCGGACAUUUAAGUCAGGGGUGAAAUCCCGGGGCUCAACCCCGGAACUGCCUUUGAUACUGGGUGUCUAGAGUAUGGAAGAGGUGAGUGGAAUUCCGAGUGUAGAGGUGAAAUUCGUAGAUAUUCGGAGGAACACCAGUGGCGAAGGCGGCUCACUGGUCCAUUACUGACGCUGAGGUGCGAAAGCGUGGGGAGCAAACAGGAUUAGAUACCCCGUAGUCCCUGUCUCUUAUACACA